rnacentral:misc_RNA from 1 species
UGGAAAUUGAAGAUUUAUUCAGCCCACAGACACAGACAGCGGCGAGCAAAUGCAAAACCCUCAUAAAUUCUUUCUUCUUCUCAGCUUUCCGGGGAAAUGGAACGGAAGCAUGUCAGUCUCCUUUACUUGCUUGAUGCUUCGCUGUUCAUUUGUCAGAGCCUAACAGCGUCUGAUUCACUUCGAAAUUUUCGGUGAGUAUCCUUCAAUGUUUGGCUUUUUGGGUUCAAGAUUAGCUUUGAAUAAGAGUGCUUCUUUGUUGGUCUCAAAUACCCAACUGGGUAUUCUUCCUUUUCGCUUAUUUUUCAUAAUCAGAUGCUUUUCGUCUACCAUAUCUUCUAAUUUG